GGCUGGAUAGCUCAUCAGUUGGUAGAGCACCGGUUCAGUAUUCUGGAGGUCGUGGGUUCGAAUCCCGCUCCAGUCA